CGGGGAAGCUCAGAUGUCUGCGCUACGUAAGCAGUGAGGAAAGUCCGGACACCACAGGGCGGGAUACUUCCUAACGGGAAGCUGCAGCAAUGCAGAGCCAGCUCCACAGAAACAAACCGCCUCUGAUCAGACAUUGCUAUCGCAGUGGAUUUUCUGGGGCAAGGGUGAAAUGGCGGUGUAAGAGACCACCGGUAUCUCCGGUAACGGAGAUAGCCAGGAAUGCCUUAUCCGGUGCAAUGCCAAAUAGGAAAGCUCAGCGCUGCCCGCGCCAGUAUGCUUUCGGGUAGGCAGCAAGAACCCUGCCGUGAGGCAGGGUCCAGAGGAAUAGACAUCAUCCUGCGAGACAGGAUACAGAAUCCGGCUUAUGCGCUUCCCCGGGUU
rnacentral:RNase_P_RNA from 1 species